GCUCAGUUGGUUAAGUGUCAGACUCUUGAUUUCGGCUCAAGUCAUGAUUUCACAGUUUUGUGAGUUCAAACCCCACACUGGGCU
rnacentral:tRNA from 1 species